rnacentral:rRNA from 1 species
UACGUAGGGUGCGAGCGUUAAUCGGAAUUACUGGGCGUAAAGCGUGCGCAGGCGGUUUGCUAAUACAGGUGUGAAAUCCCCGGGCUUAACCUGGGAACUGCGCUUGUGACUGGCAGGCUAGAGUACGGCAGAGGGGGGUGGAAUUCCUGGUGUAGCAGUGAAAUGCGUAGAUAUCAGGAGGAACACCGAUGGCGAAGGCAGCCCCCUGGGCCUGUACUGACGCUCAUGCACGAAAGCGUGGGGAGCAAACAGGAUUAGAUA